GACGAACGCUGGCGGCGUGCUUAACACAUGCAAGUCGAACGGUGAACCUCUUCGGAGGGGAUCAGUGGCGAACGGGUGAGUAACACGUGGGCAACCUGCCCCCGGCUCUGGGAUAACUCCAAGAAAUUGGGGCUAAUACCGGAUGUUCACCGCUUCCCGCAUGGGUGGUGGUGGAAAGGGUUUCCGGCUGGGGAUGGGCCCGCGGCCUAUCAGCUUGUUGGUGGGGUAGUGGCCUACCAAGGCGACGACGGGUAGCCGGCCUGAGAGGGUGACCGGCCGCACUGGGACUGAGACACGGCCCAGACUCCUACGGGAGGCAGCAGUGGGGAAUAUUGCGCAAUGGGCGGAAGCCUGACGCAGCGACGCCGCGUGGGGGAUGACGGCCUUCGGGUUGUAAACCUCUUUCAGCAGGGACGAAGCGCAAGUGACGGUACCUGCAGAGGAAGCACCGGCCAACUACGUG
rnacentral:rRNA from 1 species